GGGUUGUGAGGUUAAGCGACUAAGCGUACACGGUGGAUGCCCUGGCAGUCAGAGGCGAUGAAGGACGUGCUAAUCUGCGAAAAGCGUCGGUAAGGUGAUAUGAACCGUUACAGCCGGCGAUGUCCGAAUGGGGAAACCCAGUGCAAUUCGUUGCACUAUCGUUAACUGAAUACAUAGGUUAACGAGGCGAACCGGGGGAACUGAAACAUCUAAGUACCCCGAGGAAAAGAAAUCAACCGAGAUUCCCCCAGUAGCGGCGAGCGAACGGGGAGCAGCCCAGAGUCUGAAUCAGCUUGUGUGUUAGUGGAACGGUCUGGAAAGUCCGACGGUACAGGGUGAUAGUCCCGUACACCAAAAUGCACAGGUUGUGAACUCGAAGAGUAGGGCGGGACACGUGGUAUCCUGUCUGAAUAUGGGGGGACCAUCCUCCAAGGCUAAAUACUCCUGACUGACCGAUAGUGAACCAGUACCGUGAGGGAAAGGCGAAAAGAACCCCGGCGAGGGGAGUGAAAAAGAACCUGAAACCGUGUACGUACAAGCAGUGGGAGCACCUUCGGGUGUGACUGCGUACCUUUUGUAUAAUGGGUCAGCGACUUAUAUUCUGUAGCAAGGUUAACCGUAUAGGGGAGCCGCAGGGAAACCGAGUCUUAACUGGGCGUUAAGUUGCAGGGUAUAGACCCGAAACCCGGUGAUCUAGCCAUGGGCAGGUUGAAGGUUGGGUAACACUAACUGGAGGACCGAACCGACUAAUGUUGAAAAAUUAGCGGAUGACUUGUGGCUGGGGGUGAAAGGCCAAUCAAACCGGGAGAUAGCUGGUUCUCCCCGAAAGCUAUUUAGGUAGCGCCUCGUGAACUCAUCUUCGGGGGUAGAGCACUGUUUCGGCUAGGGGGUCAUCCCGACUUACCAACCCGAUGCAAACUACGAAUACCGAAGAAUGUUAUCACGGGAGACACACGGCGGGUGCUAACGUCCGUCGUGAAGAGGGAAACAACCCAGACCGCCAGCUAAGGUCCCAAAGUCAUGGUUAAGUGGGAAACGAUGUGGGAAGGCACAGACAGCCAGGAUGUUGGCUUAGAAGCAGCCAUCAUUUAAAGAAAGCGUAAUAGCUCACUGGUCGAGUCGGCCUGCGCGGAAGAUGUAACGGGGCUAAACCAUGCACCGAAGCUGCGGCAGCGACACUAUGUGUUGUUGGGUAGGGGAGCGUUCUGUAAGCCUGCGAAGGUGUGCUGUGAGGCAUGCUGGAGGUAUCAGAAGUGCGAAUGCUGACAUAAGUAACGAUAAAGCGGGUGAAAAGCCCGCUCGCCGGAAGACCAAGGGUUCCUGUCCAACGUUAAUCGGGGCAGGGUGAGUCGACCCCUAAGGCGAGGCCGAAAGGCGUAGUCGAUGGGAAACAGGUUAAUAUUCCUGUACUUGGUGUUACUGCGAAGGGGGGACGGAGAAGGCUAUGUUAGCCGGGCGACGGUUGUCCCGGUUUAAGCAUGUAGGCUGGUUAUCCAGGCAAAUCCGGAUAAUCAAGGCUGAGGUGUGAUGACGAGGCACUACGGUGCUGAAGUAACAAAUGCCCUGCUUCCAGGAAAAGCCUCUAAGCAUCAGGUAACAUCAAAUCGUACCCCAAACCGACACAGGUGGUCAGGUAGAGAAUACCAAGGCGCUUGAGAGAACUCGGGUGAAGGAACUAGGCAAAAUGGUGCCGUAACUUCGGGAGAAGGCACGCUGGUGUGUAGGUGAAGUCCCUGCGGAUGGAGCUGAGACCAGUCGAAGAUACCAGCUGGCUGCAACUGUUUAUUAAAAACACAGCACUGUGCAAACACGAAAGUGGACGUAUACGGUGUGACGCCUGCCCGGUGCCGGAAGGUUAAUUGAUGGGGUUAUCCGUAAGGAGAAGCUCUUGAUCGAAGCCCCGGUAAACGGCGGCCGUAACUAUAACGGUCCUAAGGUAGCGAAAUUCCUUGUCGGGUAAGUUCCGACCUGCACGAAUGGCGUAAUGAUGGCCAGGCUGUCUCCACCCGAGACUCAGUGAAAUUGAACUCGCUGUGAAGAUGCAGUGUACCCGCGGCAAGACGGAAAGACCCCGUGAACCUUUACUAUAGCUUGACACUGAACAUUGAGCCUUGAUGUGUAGGAUAGGUGGGAGGCUUUGAAGCGUGGACGCCAGUCUGCGUGGAGCCAACCUUGAAAUACCACCCUUUAAUGUUUGAUGUUCUAACGUUGGCCCCUUACCGGGGUUGCGGACAGUGUCUGGUGGGUAGUUUGACUGGGGCGGUCUCCUCCCAAAGCGUAACGGAGGAGCACGAAGGUUAGCUAAUCCUGGUCGGACAUCAGGAGGUUAGUGCAAUGGCAUAAGCUAGCUUGACUGCGAGCGUGACGGCGCGAGCAGGUGCGAAAGCAGGUCAUAGUGAUCCGGUGGUUCUGAAUGGAAGGGCCAUCGCUCAACGGAUAAAAGGUACUCCGGGGAUAACAGGCUGAUACCGCCCAAGAGUUCAUAUCGACGGCGGUGUUUGGCACCUCGAUGUCGGCUCAUCACAUCCUGGGGCUGAAGUAGGUCCCAAGGGUAUGGCUGUUCGCCAUUUAAAGUGGUACGCGAGCUGGGUUUAGAACGUCGUGAGACAGUUCGGUCCCUAUCUGCCGUGGGCGCUGGAGAAUUGAGGGGGGCUGCUCCUAGUACGAGAGGACCGGAGUGGACGCAUCACUGGUGUUCGGGUUGUCAUGCCAAUGGCACUGCCCGGUAGCUAAAUGCGGAAGAGAUAAGUGCUGAAAGCAUCUAAGCACGAAACUUGCCCCGAGAUGAGUUCUCCCUGAGACUUUAAGUCUCCUGAAGGAACGUUGAAGACGACGACGUUGAUAGGCCGGGUGUGUAAGCGCAGCGAUGCGUUGAGCUAACCGGUACUAAUGAACCGUGAGGCUUAACCUUACAACGCCGAAG
rnacentral:rRNA from 1 species